rnacentral:rRNA from 1 species
AGUGAACGCUGGCGGUAGGCCUAACACAUGCAAGUCGAACGGCGGCACAGUAAGAGCUUGCUCUUACGGGUGGCGAGUGGCGGAAGGGAGAGGAAUACAACGGAAUCUACUUUUUCGUGGGGGAUAACGAAGGGAAGCUUACGCUAAUACAGCAUACGACCUACGGGGGAAAGCAGGGGAUCGUCGGGCCGUGCGCGAGUGAAUGCGCCGAUGUCGUAUUAGCUAGUUGGCGGGGUACAGGCCCACCAAGGCGACGAUACGGAUCUGGUCUGAGAGGAGGGUCGGCCACACUGGAACGUAGACACGGUCCUUGCGCCUACGGGAGGCCGCAGUGUCGAAUAUUGGACAGUGGUCGCAAGCCUUAUCCAGCCAUCCCGCGUGGGUGAAGAAGGCCUUCGGGUUGUAAAGCCCUUUUGUUGGGUAAGAAAAGCAUCAGGUUAAUACCCCGCUUUUCUGACGGUACUCAAAGAAUAAGCACCGGCUAACUUCGUG